rnacentral:lncRNA from 1 species
AGUUUCUUUUGUAAAUACACUUCAAAUGGGGCCCUUGCAACCUGCUAAAUUUUUUUUCUUCUUUCCUCACCACUCCAAACCUGCUUCCAAUUAGCCCAUAUAUGUCUAGCACACCAUUUAUGCUCAACUUUUGGCAGUAAAUUAGUAAGUGCCAAAUGAAGACCCUAUCAAAAUAUGUAAAACAGUAGUUAAACAUUAAUGACAUCACUGCAAUAAACUUAAAAAUAAAUAACUGAAAAAUAUGAACAUAUAAAUAGUCAUACCUUCUGC